GGUUGUAGGGUGCCAGGAUCAAAUAUCAACUCACGGCAUCAUCGUCACCAUGUUCAUUAACAUCUACCCAUGGCCCUCACGACGUGCAAAUAGGUUGGUUUGCGCCCCUUUGUGUGCGGUCGGCUCAGGAAGGCCAGAUAGGUCUGAUACAUUUUCGAUCUUACAACCUGCCAUCCUCGCCUAUCUAAUAUAUGAAGCUUCUUGCGAUCGCUUUUUCAGAACUCAUCGACAUACUGUUGUAUUGAGUAGUCCCGAUCCAGGUCGGGAAUAUACUCUGCAGCUUAGACAAUUGUCAGCGGGAUGCAUUCUAAUGCUCUUCAUCUUCCAUAGUGCUU
rnacentral:lncRNA from 1 species